rnacentral:rRNA from 1 species
AGUGAACGCUGGCGGUAGGCCUAACACAUGCAAGUCGAACGGCAGCACAGUAAGAGCUUGCUCUUACGGGUGGCGAGUGGCGGACGGGUGAGGAAUACAUCGGAAUCUACUUUUUCGUGGGGGAUAACGUAGGGAAACCUACGCUAAUACCGCAUACGACCUACGGGUGAAAGCAGGGGAUCUUCGGACCUUGCGCGAUUGAAUGAGCCGAUGUCGGAUUGGCUAGUUGGCGGGGUAAAGGCCCACCAAGGCGACGAUCCGUAGCUGGACUGAGAGGAUGAUCGGCCACACUGGAGGUGAGACACGGUCCAGAGUCCUACGAGAGGCAGCAGUGGGGAAUAUUAGACAGUGGGCGCAAGCCUGGUCCAGCCAUACCGCGUGGGUGAAGGAGGCGUUCGGGUUGUGAAGCCCUUUUGUUGGGAAAGAAAAGCAUCAGGUUAAUACCCCGCUGUUCUGACGGUACCCAAAGAAUAAGCACCGGCUAACUUCGUG